rnacentral:rRNA from 1 species
AGAGUUUGAUCCUGGCUCAGGAUGAACGCUAGCGGGAGGCCUAACACAUGCAAGCCGAGCGGUAGAGAUCUUUCGGGAUCUUGAGAGCGGCGUACGGGUGCGGAACACGUGUGCAACCUGCCUUUAUCUGGGGGAUAGCCUUUCGAAAGGAAGAUUAAUACCCCAUAAUAUAUUGAAUGGCAUCAUUUAAUAUUGAAAACUCCGGUGGAUAGAGAUGGGCACGCGCAAGAUUAGAUAGUUGGUGAGGUAACGGCUCACCAAGUCUACGAUCUUUAGGGGGCCUGAGAGGGUGAUCCCCCACACUGGUACUGAGACACGGACCAGACUCCUACGGGAGGCAGCAGUGGGGAAUAUUGGACAAUGGGCGAAAGCCUGAUCCAGCCAUGCCGCGUGUGUGAAGAAGGUCUUCGGAUUGUAAAGCACUUUAAGUUGGGAGGAAGGGCAUUAACCUAAUACGUUAGUGUUUUGACGUUACCGACAGAAUAAGCACCGGCUAACUCUGUGCCAGCAGCCGCGGUAAUACAGAGGGUGCAAGCGUUAAUCGGAAUUACUGGGCGUAAAGCGCGCGUAGGUGGUUCGUUAAGUUGGAUGUGAAAUCCCCGGGCUCAACCUGGGAACUGCAUCCAAAACUGGCGAGCUAGAGUAUGGUAGAGGGUGGUGGAAUUUCCUGUGUAGCGGUGAAAUGCGUAGAUAUAGGAAGGAACACCAGUGGCGAAGGCGACCACCUGGACUGAUACUGACACUGAGGUGCGAAAGCGUGGGGAGCAAACAGGAUUAGAUACCCUGGUAGUCCACGCCGUAAACGAUGCUAACUCGUUUUUGGAGCGCAAGCUUCAGAGACUAAGCGAAAGUGAUAAGUUAGCCACCUGGGGAGUACGUUCGCAAGAAUGAAACUCAAAGGAAUUGACGGGGGCCCGCACAAGCGGUGGAUUAUGUGGUUUAAUUCGAUGAUACGCGAGGAACCUUACCAAGGCUUAAAUGGGAAAUGACAGGUUUAGAAAUAGACUUUUCUUCGGACAUUUUUCAAGGUGCUGCAUGGUUGUCGUCAGCUCGUGCCGUGAGGUGUUAGGUUAAGUCCUGCAACGAGCGCAACCCCUGUCACUAGUUGCCAUCAUUAAGUUGGGGACUCUAGUGAGACUGCCUACGCAAGUAGAGAGGAAGGUGGGGAUGACGUCAAAUCAUCACGGCCCUUACGCCUUGGGCCACACACGUAAUACAAUGGCCAGUACAGAGGGCAGCUACACUGCGAAGUGAUGCAAAUCUCGAAAGCUGGUCUCAGUUCGGAUUGGAGUCUGCAACUCGACUCUAUGAAGCUGGAAUCGCUAGUAAUCGCGCAUCAGCCAUGGCGCGGUGAAUACGUUCCCGGGCCUUGUACACACCGCCCGUCAAGCCAUGGAAGUCUGGGGUACCUGAAGUCGGUGACCGUAAUAGGAGCUGCCUAGGGUAAAACAGGUAACUAGGGCUAAGUCG